rnacentral:rRNA from 1 species
UACGAAGGGGGCUAGCGUUGUUCGGAAUUAUUGGGCGUAAAGAGCUUGUAGGCGGUUUGUCGCGUCUGCUGUGAAAUUUCGGGGCUCAACCCCGAACUUGCAGUGGGUACGGGCAGACUAGAGUGUGGUAGGGGAGACUGGAAUUCCUGGUGUAGCGGUGAAAUGCGCAGAUAUCAGGAGGAACACCGAUGGCGAAGGCAGGCCUCUGGGCCACUACUGACGCUGAGAAGCGAAAGCAUGGGGAGCGAACAGG